GAUGAAGAACGUAGCGAAAUGCGAUACGUAAUGUGAAUUGCAGAAUUCAGUGAAUCAUCGAAUCUUUGAACGCAUACUGCGCUCUCUGGUAUUCCGGAGAGCAUGCUUGUUUGAGUAUCAGUAAACACCUCAACUCCCUUUUCUUUUUUGAAAUGGGAGCUGGACUUGAGUGAUCCCAACACUUUUCUCACUGGAAAGUGGCGGGUCACUUGAAAUGCAGGUGCAGCUGGACUUUUCUCUGAGCUAUAAGCAUAUCUAUUUAGUCUGCCUAAAAAACAGAUUAUUACCUUUGCUGCAGCUAACAUAAAGGAGAUGAGUUCUUGUGCUGACUGAUGCAGGAUUCACAGAGACAGCUUUGCGGCUGACUUUGUAAACUCGAUCUCAAAUCAAGUAAGACUACCCGCUGAACUUAAGCAUAUCAAUAAGCGGAGGA
rnacentral:misc_RNA from 1 species